CACCGCCCGUCGCUACUACCGAUUGAAUGGCUCAGUGAGGCUUCCGGACUGGCCCAGGGAGGUCGGCAACGACCACCCAGGGCCGGAAAGCUAUCCAAACUCGGUCAUUUAGAGGAAGUAAAAGUCGUAACAAGGUCUCCGUUGGUGAACCAGCGGAGGGAUCAUUACAGAGUUAUCUAACUCCCAAACCCAUGUGAACUUACCUUUGUUGCCUCGGCAGUAGUUGCUGGGCGAGCCUACCCGGGAACGAGCUACCCUGUAGCGAGUUACCCUGGAACGACUUACCCUGUACGCCUGCCGGUGGACUACUAAACUCUUGUUAUUUUUAAGAAUCUGAGCGUCUUAUUUUAAUAAGUCAAAACUUUCAACAACGGAUCUCUUGGUUCUGGCAUCGAUGAAGAACGCAGCGAAAUGCGAUAAGUAAUGUGAAUUGCAGAAUUCAGUGAAUCAUCGAAUCUUUGAACGCACAUUGCGCCCAUUAGUAUUCUAGUGGGCAUGCCUGUUCGAGCGUCAUUUCAACCCUUAAGCCUAGCUUAGUAUUGGGAAUCGACUUUACUGUCGUUCCUCAAAUUCAACGGCGGAUUUAUAGCAAUCUCUGAACGUAGUAAUUUUUUUCCUCGUUUUUGAAAUACUAUAAACCUCAGCCGCUAAACCCCCAAUUUUUUUAUGGUUGACCUCGGAUCAGGUAGGAAUACCCGCUGAACUUAAGCAUAUCAAUA
rnacentral:rRNA from 1 species